CUUGGCGGCGAGCGGCGGACGGCUGAGUAACGCGUGGGAACGUACCCCAAAGUGAGGAAUAACCGCUCGAAAGGGUGGCUAAUGCCGCAUAUGAUCUUCGGAUUAAAGGAUUUAUCCGCUUUGGGAACGGCCUGCGUACGAUUAGAUAGUUGGUGGGGUAAAGGCCUACCAAGUCUACGAUCGUUAACUGGUCUGAGAGGAUGAUCAGUCAGACUGGAACUGAGAUACGGUCCACACUCCUACGGGAGGCAGCAGUGAGGAAUCUUCCACAAUGGGCGAAAGCCUGAUGGAGCAACGCCGCGUGCAGGAUGAAGGCCUUCGGGUCGAAAACUGCUUUUAUCUGUGAUGAAUAUGACAGUAACAGAAGAAUAAGCACCGGCUAACUACGUGCCAGCAGCCGCGGUCAUACGUAGGGUGCAAGCAUUAUCCGGAGUGACCGGGCGUAAAGAGUUGCGUAGGUGGUUCUAUAAGCGAAUUGUGAAAUCUGGUGGCUCAACCACACAGACUAUUAUUCGAACUGUAGAACUCGAGAGUAGCAGAGGUAACUGGAAUUUCUAGUGUAGGAGUGAAAUCCGUAGAUAUUAGAAGGAACACCAAUGGCGUAUGCAGGUUACUGGGCUAUUUCUGACACUGAAGCACGAAAGCGUGGGGAGCGAACCGGAUUAGAUACCCGGGUAGUCCACGCCGUAAACGAUGGAUACUAGCUGUUGGAGGUAUCGACCCCUUCAGUAGCGAAGCUAACGCGUUAAGUAUCCCGCCUGUGG
rnacentral:rRNA from 1 species